UCCAGACACACCUUGGCCGUAAGCUUUUCUCAUUACUCAACAGCACCUUUCACUCAACACCAUUCGGAGAGCAAAGGGUCUGACUAACACUUCGGGAUUUGAGAAUCUGUGUCCCUAAUUUACAUGAGGUACUGUCUAGUUUGAUCUUUAGGGGGUUGUAAAAGACCUGGGUUUAAAUACUUACAGGGUUCGCUUUAGGGAGUCCAAACAGAUCAGUUGAGAACGGACACCAAAUGAGAACCAGUACACUGGUCACUGGUCCGUGCGCAUGUCCUCUUCCAAUUGGCUAACGUUUCAGUGGGCCCGUCCAAAAGCUCGAAAUCAUCUGAACAUUUUGUUUGUGAAAACGGAUAAACAUUUUGAAGGUUAAGGACGCGUCAUCUCCGCUGUCCGACUUACGACUCCCCAUUUCAGUAACUAUUGGAACUCGCGGAUAAAAUCAACGUGCCGGUUUGGCCACGCUCUUAGACCGUCUGGAGUGUCUGGCAGAAAAAGUUUGGGAAACCCUGACAUAGCAGCCGGGCCAGAUUACAGACCGGGCACGUGCCCUGGGGCCCCGAUCUUCAGAGGAACCCCAAAAAUAAUCUAAUAGUACAUGAACACAUCACAAACCAUUGUAAAAAUGUGUAGCAUUGCCGUAAAUGAGCUUUAAGACGGUAAACAUUUCUUGUAAAUGCAGGAAGUUAACUGAUUUCCUAAAUAUUAAAAAUGUUUUCAAAAGAAAA
rnacentral:lncRNA from 1 species